GCGUCGAGGCCAAAUGUGGCUAUCAGUUAUUUUUUCUUGCUUUGCUUUUUAUAAAGUUUUGUUAUAGAACGCGAGUACGAACUUGGCCUAGUUAGCGGAGCAUCGACAUUCUGAAAGACAGCGCUAUCUAAAGAACAACAUCCAGCAAGACAAAGCAACAUCAGCACAUGUACUCUUCGUCUUGUUGUUUUGCAGCUAGCGCGGUUUCUCUUAAUGUCUUUGCUGCAGAAUUAGUCAAUGAUUACACAAUUACCUCGCGUUUUCAAAAUUUCUUGUUGACUUUUAGACCAUGUUGGAAGCCGCAGAGAAGAAAUCAUAAAGCUUUUCAAGUGCAUCCUGUCGAAAGCAACGCCAGAGCUGGUGGAUCAGCUCGAGGAGCUCAAGCCAAAGUUGUACUGCACCAACUACUACGUGGUCGUGAAGAAAAUCUGUCACGCUAAACGAUUCGCGGUAUUUAUGCGGGAAUACCUAAGUACGCCGGAGCUUUACGCCGAACUUGAAAAGCUAGGCCAAGAGUGCCAGAAGACGGACACGACUACGCGCGUUCAGCCCGCGCAGGAGGAGCCAGCCCCGGGACUGCUGAAGCGCAUCAUCCAUUACAUUCUGUGGUUGGCUGACAAGGCUUCUGAUAUCAAGGACGCAGUCAUCAGACGCGUUGCAUCUUAUAAAGCGUCGUCCGCGUGAACAAUAAAAACGGCCGUAUAAGUCCACAGGGUUCCAAAAGGUAUUUCCUGCUUGUCAAGCUUCAUCUAUCCAGCAUU